rnacentral:snRNA from 1 species
UCGGCUUCUCGGCCCCUUUUGGCUAAGAUCAGAGUCUUAGUAUCUGUUCUUAUCAGUUUAAUAUCUGAUAUGUUCUCCAAUGUGAGGACUAUAUAUUAAAUGGAUUUUUAGCACCGGGAGCUGAAAGAGGGGCUUGCUCCUUUCACUCCACGCAUCGACCUGGCACUGCAGUGCCGCCAGGAACGGUGCACCCUUC